ensembl:lncRNA
GUGGGAACCUCAGCAAUCGGGUCAAGUACUGAGCUCUCACUACUGUUUGCACUUUGGAGUUUAACUUACGUCCGACCCGCUCUCGAGAAGACAAUAGAUCUUAGACUGUUGGAACCGUGUCGCACAAAGAACCUCGCCUCGGGUCAAUUGGUACCGCCCGACGUCAUUCCGCUUAAAACAAAGCCGUGGAAUCCAACCCGGGCCACUGUGACGUGGUGCCGCUGGUCAGACACAACGGGGCUCACAGGACCAGCAGCUCACCUACAGCGGCGCAGCUCUGCACGGGGACGUCUGCGGCGAGACGGGAGGACACUGGCAGGACGGACGCCGUCAUGGAGACCCGAGCUGACACGGCACACACCAACACUUAGCAGGAAAUAGGGUUUUCCGUCUCACUUUUAGCUGACCAAAGUAAACAGCUGUGGUUGGACACCCAGAUGUUUCUUCUCCAUCUGGGUGUCGCCGGGCGGGAAACAGAGAGGGGAUGAUGCAGUAAACCGUUACGGCCCAUUGACUGAUGGAGUGCGCGGCCAUCUGGAGGGAGAGACGUGCGUUGAAGAUGCUUCUUCAGGUGCACAGAGGACGCAGGAGACGUGUGUUCUUCUGCCCCGUCGAGGCGGCUGCUGACGCUCCAAGGCAGCAACACGUGGGCGCACUUCGUGUGUUGCUCCCCAUUCAACAACACAACCGGCACAUUCAAAAAAGGGCCUGUGGGCCGCGGAAAGCUCUUCAAGAGGGCUUUCGGGGCAACGCACCGCCCGCCCCUCCGCGGGACAGUCGGGGGGCCUCGAGCUCCAGGUUGCAAGGAGCGGCCAGGUCAAAAAGAGAGAGGACCACCGCGUGCUUCACCGGUGUUUUUGCGCCGACAGCCGCAAGGUUGUCAUGCACUAUGGCGAUACAUCUGCUAAGGCAGGAGCUUCGAACCCGGCUGCUGCCUCACACCGACCCCCUCUGCGACGAGACGGGGGCCGCGCGUCUGUCCUCCAGUGGCCGUGACUGACUUCAUGUUCCAAUCAUGUCCAACGUAAUUGCAUGUAAUGCCGAGGGCUUUAUUGGCUACGAUUCCACUGUUGGUGGCUUUCCUGCCGCCCUCCCCUCCCUGCGCUUCCUCUCCAUCACCUCUCUCCAUCACUGCCUUAUGUUCGGAAAUGACAGCACUUUGGUGGAAAAGGUCCUUCAGGGGGAGCGUGACCAAUGCUGGGGAUGUAAUUCGUUUUUCCUCCGUCGGCCACCCUCAGGACCCUCCACCCCCCCCCUCAGGGAAACACAUAACUGGCAAAAAGAAAAACAUAUUGGGUGUUCAUUUCUUUUGCUGUGGGUCAGUUGGACCAUCAAACAAUGUUACGUUAAAAUACCCAACAGAUGUUCACUUCAUCCCAAUUGGAAGCAAACAAACAGUAAAUAUGGUUACUAUUUUACGCCCUGAUUCCCCUCAUCGUCCUCAGCUUCCUCUUUGCUGUCCCGGCUUUUACAAUGUAACAGAAUUGUUGCAUGCGAUGGUGUGUCCACGGAGUCCCUGAGCCAUGUCCAGGACAUGUCCUCCAUCAGGUUUCCCAGUGUAGACUUGUAAGAAUGAGAAUAAGUCCAGUGGACCCGAACGCCAUGUGUGUAACAUAGAUCUCAAAUGAGCCACAGCCAUUAAAUCUGAGUUUGAAAAAAUAAUGAAGCGUAUUAUUUUUGUUUGCAAAAGAUACACCUCAAUUUUGUUGUACUAAUGUAACCUGCAGGAACACAGAAAACGUCUCCUCGCAGGGAAAAUCCCAAAUCCAGUGUUAAUUCUGACUCUUCAAAAAACCUUGUACCAGAUUGACAAUUAGCUCAUCUGAACUAUUUAUUACUCUCAGUUCAAAUGUCUCACAAACAAGAAUAGCACACAUCACAACACACAGAACACUCAUUGAUGACUCAAUGUGUCUCUCUUUCAUGGUGGGUGUUAAUGUAUUUCAUGUGUUAGCUGCAGCAGUCCCGUUAUUCACACAACGCCAUGUUGAGCACAUUGAGUACGUGGCGCGUUUGGACUGAUGCCAUGUCGCGCUCGCAGCCUGUUAGGAC